rnacentral:misc_RNA from 1 species
GAUGAGAACGCAGCGAAAUGCGAUACGUAAUGUGAAUUGCAAAUUCAGUGAAUCAUCGAGUCUUUGAACGCACAUUGCGCCCCCUGGUAUUCCGGGGGGCAUGCCUGUCCGAGCGUCAUUGCUGCCCUCAAGCACGGCUUGUGUGUUGGGCCCCGUCCUCCGAUCCCGGGGGACGGGCCCGAAAGGCAGCGGCGGCACCGCGUCCGGUCCUUGAGCGUAUGGGGCUUUGUCACCCGCUCUGUAGGCCCGGCCGGCGCUUGCCGAUCAACCCAAAUUUUUAUCCAGGUUGACCUCGGAUCAGGUAGGGAUACCCGCUGAACUUAAGCAUAUCAAUAAGCGGAGGA